rnacentral:rRNA from 1 species
UAGGGAAUCUUCCGCAAUGGACGCAAGUCUGACGGAGCAACGCCGCGUGAGUGAAGAAGGAUUUCGGUUCGUAAAACUCUGUUGUUAGAGAAGAACAGCGCAUAGAGUAACUGUUAUGCGUGUGACGGUAUCUAACCAGAAAGCCACGGCUAACUACGUGCCAGCAGCCGCGGUAAUACGUAGGUGGCAAGCGUUGUCCGGAUUUAUUGGGCGUAAAGCGAGCGCAGGCGGUCAAUUAAGUCUGAUGUGAAAGCCCCCGGCUCAACCGGGGAGGGUCAUUGGAAACUGUUUGACUUGAGUGCAGAAGAGGAGAGUGGAAUUCCAUGUGUAACGGUGAAAUGCGUAGAUAUAUGGAGGAACACCAGUGGCGAAGGCGACUCUCUGGUCUGUAACUGACGCUGAGGUUCGAAAGCGUGGGUAGCAAACAGG